rnacentral:lncRNA from 1 species
UGCAGAGGCUGAGGGGCAUCUCCCCUCUGGCCCCUCUGCCUCCAAAUUAAGAAGUUUUGUUUUGGUUUCAUUUCAACAGGGAGAGAGAAGAAAGAACUGCCUGACCCAUGCUCCACUUCCAGGACAGAGACAGCUCAGAGCCCUCUCCGGUAGCUCUCUGAAUGCUGCCAGCAGUCCCAAGAGAUAGAGAAGAGGUCAAUUGCAACAGCCCUAUGAGAGCAAUUGCACAAUUUACUACAAGGCCACAGGGCAGGGGAUGAGAUGAUUCUGGCCAUGCAGGGCAAUGGAUAAAAUGCCGGCCAGGCCUCUGGUCACCACUGUGCCACCAACUCACUUUAUAACCGAAGGCAAAGUAUCAGACCUCUUUAAGCCUUCAUUUCUCUGUCUGUCAAAGUAGGACAUGUAGUCUUUUGCAGAACAAAAAACUAUCAGAUAGUACCAGAUACCCGAAAGUAUUAGAUAAUACCAGGGUAUUAUCUAACCCAACCUGUUUAUUUGAUAUGCUUGGUAACUGAGUACUGGAGACGGGGAGUGUCUUGCCCAGUGUUACAUGGCUGUAAAUAGCAGGGUCACUUCGAGAAGACAAGACCUCUCUUGCAUACUGAAGUGCUGCUUUCUAUUUUAGAUGCUCUCCAGGGUUCUCCCGGGCUCCAGGAGUCUGCUGUUCUAAAGACAUCACCCUCUAUCAGCUCUGGCUGCCGUCUUUGGACAUGGUCUUGUGUCAGUCACCAUAUGUUUCUUUUGGGACUCUUGGGGACAUAUAAUGUCCAGCUACUUCCCUCAUUACAGAGUUCUUCAAUGUCAUGGAAGGUCAUCCAAAUGGUCUCAGCAAAGCUUCGGGUCCUGGCAACCAAUGAUCUAUAUUCAAGGCCAGUAUUUUUUCCUUUCCUGAAACAUCAUAAAAAUGGCAUCAUAGAGUAGGUAACUUUUUGAGUAUAGUUUCCUGCACUUAACAUAAUGCAUUGAACAUUUAUCCAUUUUGUUAUGUGUAUCAGUAGAUCAUUGCUUUUUAUUGUUGAGAAGAAACUGGUUGUAUUCAUUUUCUAGUUUGUUUAACCACUCACCAAUUAACAGACAUUUGGGUUAUUUCUAGUUUUGGUCAAUUAUGAAUAAAAU